AUAUUCCUGUACCACCAUGAUUCGUUUUAAGCGAUGGGGGGACGCAGUAGGAUAGGCGAAGCGUGCUGUUGGAGUGCACGUCUAAGCAGUAAGACUGAGUGUUAGGCAAAUCCGGCACUCAUUAAGGUCAAGCUGUGAUGGGGAGAAGAAACAUGUUUUCUUCGAGUCGUUGAUUUCACACUGCCAAGAAAAGCCUCUAGCUAGAAGAUUGGUGCCCGUACCGCAAACCGACACAGGUAGUCAAGAUGAGAAUUCUAAGGUGAGCGAGCGAACUCUCGUUAAGGAACUCGGCAAAAUGACCCCGUAACUUCGGGAGAAGGGGUGCUCUUUGAGGUUCACGCUUCGAAGAGCCGCAGUGAAUAGGCCCAAGCGACUGUUUAUCAAAAACACAGGUCUCUGCUAAACCGUAAGGUGACGUAUAGGGGCUGACGCCUGCCCGGUGCUGGAAGGUUAAGAGGAGUGGUUAGCAUUAGCGAAGCUACGAAUCGAAGCCCCAGUAAACGGCGGCCGUAACUAUAACGGUCCUAAGGUAGCGAAAUUCCUUGUCGGGUAAGUUCCGACCCGCACGAAAGGCGUAACGAUUUGGGCACUGUCUCAACGAGAGACUCGGUGAAAUCAUAGUACCGGUGAAGAUGCCGGUUACCCGCGACAGGACGGAAAGACCCCGUGGAGCUUUACUGUAGCCUGAUAUUGAAAUUCGGUACAGUUUGUACAGGAUAGGUAGGAGCCUUAGAAGCGUGAGCGCUAGCUUACGUGGAGGCAUUGGUGGGAUACUACCCUAAUUGUAUUGGAUUUCUAACCCGCAACUCUUAUCGAGUUGGGAGACAGUGUCAGGCGGGCAGUUUGACUGGGGCGGUCGCCUCCUAAAGAGUAACGGAGGCGCUCAAAGGUUCCCUCAGAAUGGUUGGAAAUCAUUCAUAGAGUGUAAAGGCAUAAGGGAGCUUGACUGCGAGACCUACAAGUCGAGCAGGGUCGAAAGACGGACUUAGUGAUCCGGUGGUUCCGCAUGGAAGGGCCAUCGCUCAACGGAUAAAAGCUACCCCGGGGAUAACAGGCUUAUCUCCCCCAAGAGUUCACAUCGACGGGGAGGUUUGGCACCUCGAUGUCGGCUCAUCGCAUCCUGGGGCUGUAGUCGGUCCCAAGGGUUGGGCUGUUCGCCCAUUAAAGCGGUACGCGAGCUGGGUUCAGAACGUCGUGAGACAGUUCGGUCCCUAUCCGUCGUGGGCGUAGGAAAUUUGAGAGGAGCUGUCCUUAGUACGAGAGGACCGGGAUGGACAUACCUCUGGUGUACCAGUUGUCGUGCCAACGGCAUAGCUGGGUAGCUAUGUAUGGACGGGAUAAGUGCUGAAAGCAUCUAAGCAUGAAGCCCCCCUCAAGAUGAGAUUUCCCAACUUCGGUUAUAAGAUCCCUCAAAGAUGAUGAGGUUAAUAGGUUCGAGGUGGAAGCGUAGCGAUACGUGGAGCUGACGAAUACUAAUCGAUCGAAGACUUAAUCAAUUU
rnacentral:rRNA from 1 species